GGAGAGGUGGCAGAGCGGCCGAAUGCGCCACAUUGCUAAUGUGGUGACUCCCUUGGGGUCCGCGGGUUCAAAUCCCGCCCUCUCCGCCA
rnacentral:tRNA from 1 species